GAUGAACGCUGGCGGCGUGCCUAAUACAUGCAAGUCGAGCGAACAGAUGAGGAGCUUGCUCCUCUGACGUUAGCGGCGGACGGGUGAGUAACACGUGGAUAACCUACCUAUAAGACUGGGAUAACUUCGGGAAACCGGAGCUAAUACCGGAUAAUAUAUUGAACCGCAUGGUUCAAUAGUGAAAGACGGUUUUGCUGUCACUUAUAGAUGUAUCCGCGCCGCAUUAGCUAGUUGGUAAGGUAACGGCUUACCAAGGCAACGAUGCGUAGCCGACCUGAGAGGGGGAUCGGCCACACUGGAACUGAGACACGGUCCAGACUCCUACGGGAGGCAGCAGUAGGGAAUCUUCCGCAAUGGGCGAAAGCCUGACGGAGCAACGCCGCGUGAGUGAUGAAGGUCUUCGGAUCGUAAAACUCUGUUAUUAGGGAAGAAAAAAUGUGUAAGUAACUAUGCACGUCUUGACGGUACCUAAUCAGAAAGCCACGGCUAACUACGUG
rnacentral:rRNA from 1 species